CAUUCCCUACGGGGCGCAGCAGUGGGGAAUAUUGCACAAUGGGGGAAACCCUGAUGCAGCGACGCCGCGUGAGUGAAGAAGUAUUUCGGUAUGUAAAGCUCUAUCAGCAGGGAAGAUAAUGACGGUACCUGACUAAGAAGCUCCGGCUAAAUACGUGCCAGCAGCCGCGGUAAUACGUAGGGGGCAAGCGUUAUCCGGAUUUACUGGGUGUAAAGGGAGCAUAGACGGCCAGACAAGUCUGAAGUGAAAAUCCAGCGCUUAACGUUGGAAGUGCUUUGGAAACUGCCGGGCUAGAGUGCAGGAGG
rnacentral:rRNA from 1 species